UACGUAGGGGCCUAGCGUUGUCCGGAAUUAUUGGGCGUAAAGAGCGUGUAGGCGGUCCGGUAAGUCCGCUGUGAAAGUCGGGGGCUCAACCCUCGAAUGCCGGUGGAUACUGUCGGGCUAGAGUGCGGAAGAGGCGAGUGGAAUUCCUGGUGUAGCGGUGAGAUGCGCAGAUAUCAGGAGGAACACCUAUUGCGAAGGCAGCUCGCUGGGACGUAACUGACGCUGAGACGCGAAAGCGUGGGGAGCAAACAGG
rnacentral:rRNA from 1 species